rnacentral:rRNA from 1 species
CGGACGGGUGAGUAAUGCGUAGGAAUUUACCUCAAAGCGGGGGAUAGCCCGGAGAAAUCCGGAUUAAUACCGCAUGUGCUCUACGGAGUAAAGCGGGCCUCUUCUUGAAAGCUCGCACUUUGAGAUAAGCCUACGUCGGAUUAGCUUGUUGGUAGGGUAAUGGCCUACCAAGGCACCGACGGGUAGCUGGUCUGAGAGGAUGAUCAGUCACACUGGAACUGAGACACGGUCCAG